GACCGCUUCGGUGGCCUAGUGGUUAGAGCGUACGUCUUGGAUGCGGGAGGUCGUGGGUUUGAUCCCCGGCAGAGUCA